ACGACAGAGGAAACUACAACACCUCCAAGAGCAAUAACCGAAAGCAAAUUCAAUAACGUAAAAUAACAAUCCCUAGACGUGGUCAGGGUGGACGGGAAGCCACCAAUACGCAGAUAAUUCCUGUCUUCAACUUUUUUAAUUAGGAAAUUAACCUUGAAAGAAAUUGAAAUUUUAAGUAAAGGUCUCUCCUUAAUACUGGCGACUCCUCCAAAUCACUUUCAGUGGAAUGUUGAAUUGUUUAAAUUUGUCCGUACAUUAAGGUUUAAAGACUAUUUUAAGACAUUUUGCUCCUUACCGGUGAAUCCUGAAAUAUCAAAGUCAGUAUAUAAAUAAGUCUUUUGAUCCACCUUCAAAUCAAGUGGCUAUUAAAUCUUUUCUUGCAACUGUCAAAAAUGAAACAGAUUCUAUGCUG